UCCCCUUUUACACCUCUGUUGCGGUGUGGAGAUAAGCCAGUUCGGCUGCCAGGACGGCUUCAUCUUGAUGAGCUUCGACAGAACUUCAGCGCUGACAUUUAAUGCCGUUUGCGCCACUCGGGCUUUCUCUUAACUGAACACCUGAACACCUUUUAUCUGGCCGUGGUGCUGCGCCGGCUGGACUGAUGGACAAGAGCAGUUGGGACAGCGGCAGAGCAACGAGCGUCAGCACCAAACACAGCCGUCGGAGAUAAAAAAAUAGAUAUAUGUAAAACCGCAAAUAAACAAAUAAGCAAAUAAACAGUAAAUAAAAGAGCCUGAGGAGGAGGAGGCGAUGAUAAAAUGCUGUUUUUACAGAAGCUCCAGAAAUGACAAGGAAACGUGCCUGCCAGACAAACGGUUUUGUGCAAGAACACAAACACCAGGAGCAGAAAGCGAGGGCCGAGAGGAAUACUCAGGCAACAGCAACACACCUCACUCGGACGCACACUCAGCCACUUCUUGCAAUGACCUCUCCUCGGGGGAUGUGGGGUCCUUGCUUGGCCACUCCACUCCUGUUCCAUGUCCUCCCUUCCACACCAACAGGGGGAGCCAGGGGUCAGUGGGUAGGUGGCAAAGUACAGGCAUGACCUAUAUAAGACCUGUUCUGUGGUCAGUUUGUGAAUAAAGAGCUUUCUUUAGA